rnacentral:rRNA from 1 species
AACGUAGGAGGCGAACGUUAUCCGGAUUUACUGGGUGUAAAGCGCGUGCAGGCGGAUUAGUAAGUUGCUUGUGAAAGCGCCCGGCUCAACCGGGCGAGGACGAGCGAAACUGCUAGUCUUGAGGUAGGUAGAGGCGUAUGGAAUUCCGGGUGUAGUGGUGAAAUGCGUAGAGAUCCGGAGGAACACCAGUGGCGAAGGCGAUACGCUGGGCCUGACCUGACGCUAAGACGCGAAAGCAUGGGGAGCGAACGGG